UUAAUUGAAGAGUUUGAUCAUGGCUCAGAUUGAACGCUGGCGGCAGGCCUAACACAUGCAAGUCGAACGGUAACAGGGAGCAGCUUGCUGCUCUGCUGACGAGUGGCGGACGGGUGAGUAAUGUCUGGGAAACUGCCUGAUGGAGGGGGAUAACUACUGGAAACGGUAGCUAAUACCGCAUAACGUCUUCGGACCAAAGUGGGGGACCUUCGGGCCUCAUGCCAUCAGAUGUGCCCAGAUGGGAUUAGCUAGUAGGUGGGGUAACGGCUCACCUAGGCGACGAUCCCUAGCUGGUCUGAGAGGAUGACCAGCCACACUGGAACUGAGACACGGUCCAGACUCCUACGGGAGGCAGCAGUGGGGAAUAUUGCACAAUGGGCGCAAGCCUGAUGCAGCCAUGCCGCGUGUAUGAAGAAGGCCUUCGGGUUGUAAAGUACUUUCAGCGGGGAGGAAGG
rnacentral:rRNA from 1 species